AAUAUUGGUCAAUGGAGGCAACUCUGAACCAGCCAAGUCGCGUGAAGGAUGACUGCACUACGGGUUGAAUACUUCUUUUUUAAGGGCAUAAAGUGAGUCACGUGUGGCUUUGUGCAUGUACCUUACGAUUACGGAACGGCUAACUCCGUCUCACCAGCCGCGGUAAUACGGAGGAUCCGAUCGUUAUCCGGAUUUAUUGGGUUUAAAGGGUGCGCAGGCGGAAUAUUAAGUCGGCGGUGAAAGUUUGCAGCUUAACUGUAAAAUUGCCGUUGAUACUGGUAUUCUUGAGUGUAUAUGAAGUAGGCGGAAUUUGUAGUGUAGCGGUGAAAUGCAUAGAUAUUACAAGGAACUCCGAUUGCGAAGGCAGCUUACUAAAAUACAACUGACGCUUAGGCACGAAGGCGUGGGGAUCAAACA
rnacentral:rRNA from 1 species